rnacentral:sRNA from 1 species
UCCUCCUUCCCCUUCCCAUCCAUUUCUUUCUCUUCUUUCCUCCCCUUCUUCCUCCUCUUCCUCCCCUAUCUUCCUCCUGUUUACAUCUGUUUAUAACUCUUCUGUCCUGGCCCUCUCCUUGGGCCUGUGCUUGUCUUCAUCUCUCUCUCUCUCUCUCUCUCUCUCUCUCUCUCUCUCUCUCUCUCUCUUCCCUCCAUCAUCUCUUCCUUUAUCCUCCCAACUCACUCUACUCUACGGCCUUCUCUUCCAUCACCUCCCAGUCCCCUGCUUCCUUCUCUGCCCAUCUCCUCUUCCUUUCUUCUCCUUCCCCUCAUAUCCCUCCUUUCCCCUCUCAUUUCCUAUAGCAUCUUCACACCUUUCUUUAUCCCCCUCCUUUUCUAUAUACCUUACACACGCUAAUUUCUCCAUCUCUCCUCCUCCUCCUCCUCCUCCCCCUCCUCCUCUUCCUUCUUCUGAUUCUUUAAGAGAGGGUUUCUCUGUAUAGUCCUGGCUAUCCUCGAACUUACUCUGUAAACAAACUUGGACUGGAACUCAGAGUCCUGCCUUCCUCUGCUUCCUGAGUUCUAGGAUUAAAGACAUAUUCCAAGUACCCUGCUCAUUUCUCCAUCACAACUGGCAUUCCUGUUUCCUGGCCCCAUCGUGCCCUCUCACCUGCUAGCCCUGUCCUAGUCUCAGAGGAUGUAGGGCAGGAUACCCAGGGCUUGAUGUCCUCCUAGUUCCCUCCCCACAGUCCAGGCUUCUGUCUGUCUCUGGGUCCUAAUCUGGGGACAUAAAAUGUGAUCAAGAGUGCUCAGUCCACUUUGAUCCCCCCACCCCCUCCACCUGCCCGUCUUCCUUGCUCUCUUCUCUAUCCCUACUUUCUUCUCCUCCCUGGGCUGCCCAUUCCCCCUUCCUGGGCUCUCUGCCGUUUGUUUUCUGUCCUUGCCCUCAUGUUCUCACUGUUCUUUCUGGAAUCUUCUGUUCCCCAUCACUAUUCUCUUUCUUCCUCCAUUUUCUUUACAACCCAGACUCUGCUACCAGUGCUGUAACAUCAUCCCCUCCCCUGAUGUUUUGUCUUUCCUCACUGAAACUUAGAAGCUGCCUUUAGCGUCUCUGCUGUUUAUCUCCCUUGACCAUUCAAGCCCUCUUUCUUGUCUCUGCUAUUCUGUCUCUCCUCCCCUCAUAUCUAUUCUGAUCCAUGGUGCUGAUCUCCCCUCACCCCCUCCUCUCUCUCUCUCUCUCUCUCUCUCUCUCUCUCACACACACACACACACACACACACACACACACACACACACACACUGCUUCCUCCUCACUCCCUUUCUGGGUGUCCCUCACCGUGCUCUCCUCUGUCCCUCACACUCCUAUGGUAUUCCUUCUGGCCUUCCUGUCACUCCUUCUUGCAUUGUCUCCCCAUCCUCUCAAGGUGUGCAUGUGUGGGGGGGGUGCAGAACAGAGGUCUACCCUAGGUGUAACCCAUUUAAAACUUGCUUAGCGGUUGGGGAUUUAGCUCAGUGGUAGAGCGCUUGCCUAGCAAGCGCAAGGCCCUGGGUUCGGUCCCCAGCUCCGAAAAAAAAAAAAAAAAGAAUUAUUUAUGGGGCUGGGGAUUUAGCUCAGUGGUAGAGCGCUUACCUAGGAAGCGCAAGGCCCUGGGUUCGGUCCCCAGCUCUGAAAAAAAGAACCAAAAAAAAAAAAAAAACUUGCUUAGCUUGUAUGUGCAUGUAUGCAUAUGGUGUGCUCACCUAUGAGGACAUAUGUGGAGCUAGGAGGUCAACAUCUGGUGCCCUCUCUAGUUUUCCACCUUAAUUUUCGAGACAAGGUCUUUCAGUGAACUUGCGACCUGCUGAUUUGGUGAGUCUGGCCAGCCAGAAAGCCCUGGGAAUCCCCAGCACCAGGGUUACUUCCAGAUGCCUGCCACUGUGCCAGCUGCAGUGUGGGUACUGGGAUUCAAACUUGGAUCUUCCUGCCUGCAUAACAAACGCUUUGCCAAUAAACCAAUCUCCCAUCUCUCUUCCUGUUUUUCUUCCAUCGUCUGACCUUUGACCUCACUUCCUUCCUCUUCCUGUUUAUUCCCUUUCUCCUCUGCACCCUCCUUCUCCCCAGUUUUUAAUGCCAAGGACCUCUAAGUGGGCUCCUCUUCUGCUCUCCCUGCCCCCUGCCCUGGUGCUGAGAUCCUCAGGCCCCAAGAGGGAGGUGGGUCACCAGCGGCCACAAAAUGUCAUGGCAGGAGGCUGAUCCUGAUGCAUGGCCAGUAAGUCCGAGUCCAGGUGUGGCAGGGGCUUUGUGACACUCUUUUUUUCUGUUUGUCCUGGAUACUGGACACUGCCUGGAGGAAUGAGACCUGGGAGCAGGAAGCAAAGGAUGAGCUCCGAGAGAGGGAAGAGAGCUGCCUCCAGACACAGCGGCCCUCUAUGUUCUUCAGGCGUCAGCAAUGGAAGACCUCAGAUGACUUGUUUUCCAGAUGAAAACAUCUGUACAACACCUGCAGGACACUGGAGACCAGCAGCUGCUAGGACAGAGGCUUCUUAGGACUGACUUGCCUGAAGGACCAACACUGCCCAGCAUCCGCUGGUGUGUUUGGAAAGGAGCUAGUGGGACUCUGUCGCCACCUGCUAGCUCAGAGUGGAACUGCAACCCAGCUGUCUAAGGCACUGCAAACUGUUCCCAGUAAAGAACAGUUGGGGUGAGGGGAGCUGUGGAAAAAUCUGUAGAAAUAAACGUUUUUACUCCUAACACAGU